AUUUGUCUCGGCUAAUGUGUCUCGACUAAGGUGUCUUGGCUAAGGUGUCUUGGCUAAGGUGUCUUGGCUAAUGUGUCUUGGCUAAUGUGUCUCGGCUAAUGUGUCUUGGCUAAGGUGUCUUGGCUAAGGUGUCUCGGCUAAUGUGUCUUGGCUAAUGUGUCUUGGCUAAUGUGUCUUGGCUAAUGUGUCUUGGCUAAUGUGUCUCGGCUAAUGUGUCUUGGCUAAGGUGUCUUGGCUAAUGUGUCUUGGCUAAUGUGUCUUGGCUAAGGUGUCUUGGCUAAGGUGUCUUGGCUAAGGUGUCUUGGCUAAGGUGUCGUGGCUAAGGUGUCUUGGCUAAUGUGUCUUGGCUAAGGUGUCUUGGCUAAGGUGUCUCGGCUAAUGUGUCUUGGCUAAUGUGUCUUGGCUAAUGUGUCUCGGCUAAGGUGUCUUGGCUAAUAUGUCUUGGCUAAGGUGUCUUGGCUAAGGUGUCUUGGCUAAUGUGUCUUGGCUAAUGUGUCUUGGCUAAUGUGUCUCGGCUAAUGUGUCUUGGCUAAGGUGUCUUGGCUAAGGUGUCUUGGCUAAUGUGUCUUGGCUAAUGUGUCUUGGCUAAUGUGUCUUGGCUAACGUGUCUCGGCUAAUGUGUCUUGGCUAAUGUGUCUUGGCUAAUGUGUCUUGGCUAAUGUGUCUUGGCUAAUGUGUCUUGGCUAAGGUGUCUUGGCUAAUGUGUCUUGGCUAAGGUGUCUUGGCUAAAGUGUCUUGGCUAAGGUGUCUUGGCUAAUGUGUCUUGGCUAAGGUGUCUUGGCUAAUGUGUCUUGGCCAAUGUGUCUUGGCUAAGGUGUCUUGGCUAAGGUGUCUUGGCUAAGGUGUCUUGGCUAAUGUGUCUCGGCUAAU